rnacentral:lncRNA from 1 species
UGCCUCUCGCAAAAGAUCUCCUUCAUCCCUCCCCAGAAGAAGAGAAGAAGAAACACAAGAAGAAACGCCUGGUGCAGAGCCCCAAUUCCUACUUCAUGGGUGUGAAAUGCCCAGGAUAAUAUAAAUCACCACGGUCUUUAGCCAUGCACAAAUGGUAGUUUUGUGUGUUGGCUGCUCCACUGUCCUCUGCCAGCCUACAGGAGGAAAAGCAAGGCUUACAGAAGGAUGUUCCUUCAGGAAGAAGCAGCACUAA